UGACGGUACCUGACUAAGAAGCUCCGGCUAAAUACGUGCCAGCAGCCGCGGUAAUACGUAUGGAGCAAGCGUUAUCCGGAUUUACUGGGUGUAAAGGGAGCGCAGGCGGUUUAGCAAGUCUGAUGUGAAAUCCCGGGGCUCAACCUCGGAACUGCAUUGGAAACUGUUAAACUAGAGUGUCGGAGAGGUAAGUGGAAUUCCUAGUGUAGCGGUGAAAUGCGUAGAUAUUAGGAGGAACACCAGUGGCGAAGGCGGCUUACUGGACGAUAACUGACGCUGAGGCUCGAAAGCGUGGGGAGCAAACAGGAUUAGAUACCCUG
rnacentral:rRNA from 1 species